rnacentral:rRNA from 1 species
AUUGAACGCUGGCGGCAUGCCUUACACAUGCAAGUCGAACGGUAACAGGGAGCUUGCUCCGCUGACGAGUGGCGAACGGGUGAGUAACGUAUCGGAACGUACCUUUCAGUGGGGGAUAACGCAGCGAAAGUUGCGCUAAUACCGCAUAUUCUGUGAGCAGGAAAGCAGGGGAUCGCAAGACCUUGCGCUGAUUGAGCGGCCGAUAUCAGAUUAGCUAGUUGGUGAGGUAAAGGCUCACCAAGGCGACGAUCUGUAGCGGGUCUGAGAGGAUGAUCCGCCACACUGGAACUGAGACACGGUCCAGACUCCUACGGGAGGCAGCAGUGGGGAAUUUUGGACAAUGGGGGCAACCCUGAUCCAGCCAUGCCGCGUGAGUGAAGAAGGCCUUCGGGUUGUAAAGCUCUUUCGGCCGGGAAGAAAUCGCACAG